CCUGAGUUUCAGCGACAAGUCUGAAAUGGGCAAUUUCAGACUGUGAAUAUUUGGAAAUCUUUAUCCACAAUGACUGUAGAUGCUGAGCCAUUAAAUGCAAGGCUGAGAAGUAGAGGUUUUUGGACUGCAGUGACCUAAGUGUUACAGGUUCAGCAUAAAAAUUGAGCUGAGACCAAACUAGGGCCUGGUUUUAUGAACAACAAACAAUGAAGACGGGGAAGUGUGGCCUACUGCCACUCACAUUUCUUACAUUCUUAAGGAUAGAGACAAUGACAUACACAUAAAAGGUGGACUAUUUAUCAACAAGAAGUUCAAUCUAUUAAACAAUUCUAACCAUUUUGUUAAGAAAUGCCCAAAUGGAAUGAAAUCAAAAUACAGAAUCACAGAAUGAGGUACUACACGAGGAAUUCUGCAGAUGCUGGAAAUUCAAGCAACACACAUCAAAGUUGCUGGUGAACGCAGCAGGCCAGGUAGCAUCUCUAGGAAGAGGUACAGUCGACGUUUCAGGCCGAGACCCUUCGUCAGGACUAAUUAUUAUUAUGAGAUUCACCCUGGCCUACCAUCCUGGCUCUAAGAACGGCAAGCCUGAUGCACUCUCCAGGCAGUUUCCACCAACCGACGAGGCACCCGAGGUUACGACCAUUCUCCUCAAGCAAUGUCUGGUCGCCACAGCACAGUGGAAGAUUGAAUCUGUAGUCCAGUCUGCCCAGUAGGGUUUAUCACCAUUCCAGUGCUGUCUUGGCUAUCAACCCCCCUUAUUCGCAUCUCAGGAGGAGGAAGUGGACGUUCCCUCAGCCGAAGCGUUUGUCCAGAGGUGUUCACGGACCUGGAGACAAGCCCGAAAGGGGCUGCUUCAAUCUACAGCCAGAAUGAAGCAGCAAGCAGACUGUCACCGCAUCGAGGCUCCCAUUAACCGCCGGGGUCAGAAGGUGUGGUUAUCUUCGCGUGACAUCCCCUCGAAGGUGGACUCCCGCAUGCUGGCGCCACGCAACAUUGGACCUUUCCCCAUCACCAAGGUGAUCAGCCCUU